GCCCCACACUUAAGUGUGGGCAGUUUAGUCUUUGUAAGUGUAAUUAGAACCUAAUAAACAUAAGGGGGUCGACUGAAUGUGUGACUAAUCAAUUUCGACUAAACCCUCCUGUUCUCUCCUUCUCUUGUCUUCUUCCUUCUUCAUUGGUUCGGAUUACUGUAGCUGCUCCAAAACAGGGGACACGAUCACAAGCAAGUAAAUCAGGGUCCCGCCCAACCACUAGUAACACACCCAAUAUAGAAGAUACACGGGCACAUGCAAGUCAAUCGAUGGCUCAUAAUAGGUCAACACCUGACGUAGAUGAUACUACAUCACCAACCUAGUCACCUGACUUGGGAAGGCAUGAGGAGCCCUCUAGUGGGCAUGUUGGAGAGGGGUCUUCUCGUACAACACAUAGGUUAAGAGGCCCCGGUAUGGCCAUAGAUAUAUGAAACAUGCCUGAAGGGGAACAAAUUGAAGUUGGGUUCAAUGAAUACAACCAACCCAAUGAUGGAAAAACAAAGGAUUUAGUUGGAUUUUUGGGUAGCCUUGCACGAACUCCAAACCAAUUGCCCAUAGACAUGGGUGAUUGGAGAGAAUUUCCUACAGAGACAAAGGAAGAAAUAUGGAAACUUAUCAAGAAAAAAUUCAAGGUGAAUGAUGACACAAAAGACACACUGAAGUCAUUGGGUAAAAAGUGGAGGGAUUGGAAGUCCAAUUUGAAGAAAAAGUAUUAUGACCUUGAUCCGGAUAGUGCAGAUGCACUACCAAUUGAGCAGCUUGAAAGUCGGGUUAAUGCACACCAAUGGAGAAAUUUGGUAUAGUUUUGGAGAUCUGAAAAAGGGGCUGCAAGAUCCAUAACCAAUAAAGCUAACCACUCCGAAUAAACAAUCAACCACACAGCAGGAGCAAAGAGCUUCGCAAGAGUACUCAAGGAAUUGAAAAUAGAGAGGGAAGCUGAUGUAUCGCGUGCGGAGGUAUUUUAUGCAACACACAGGAGAAAGGAUGGGACGCCUGUAGAUCCAAGAUCGGGUUCUUUAAUGGAGUAAAUGCAAAAUUGCAUGGCUCAAGAGGAAGACACUCAAAAUGAGGGCAGUGAACAAGGACACGAUGAUGUCUAUGCUCGUGUGAUGGGCCAAGAGCGUCGUGGCUGAGUGCGUGGUCUAGGUUUAGGCCCAACUCCGUCCAGGUUCAGGGGCCCACGACAGAGCCAUGAAGAUGCCAUGAGGGUUGUUAAUGAAGGUAAAAGAGCAGCCGAAGAGUGUUCAUAGAAGCUGGAAGAGCAGAUUGCAUCAAUGCGAGAACAGAUGGAUGCGAUGGAAGCUUAAUUGCUUAAUAGACGGGAUUGAGGUGAAUCAUCCCAAUUGCGAAGACACUGAAUCAAAGUCCCUUUUAUUAUCAAUUUAGCUCCGACACUGAAUCACAGGUGUUUUUAGAAAAUACCGAAUGUAAUUUGUUGACUUUCAUGCAAGGAGGAUUUGUAUCUGUUGCCAAAGCAACCAUUACAAGUUUAGAUCCUCAGAAGAUUGUGGGUGGUGUGCCACUUGGUUAUGGAUGGACAGAGGUCGUGAUCAAUGUUCCGAAUAUAAGUGAUGCACCAUUAAUGCGCCCAUAUGGACGCUAUAGAACAAUUGGAACCGCUGUUGGUGUUCCAAUUGCUUGGAGUUCAAUCCAUGUUGUUUCAGCCCUUGCUAUUGAUCAUUCAGGUUCGAGGGUUAUUUCUGGUUGCAGUUUGGGUUCUGAUCUCUCCAGUUUUUAUCCGAGUUUUAAGAGAGGAUUUGGAUAUCAUAUUAGGGGAUAUAUUGGAGUUUCAUCUCUGUAGCUUGGAAACUUUGUUUUGGGCUCAAAUAGAGUCCCCAUAUUCCUCUCCCCAGCUUAUAUGGAAGAAUUUUCAGCUCAAAUUCUUCUAUGCUCACAGGAUAUCCUGAACUGUGCUAGUCUGCUUGAAAUGACAUUUUUACUGCAACUUGACUGAGAAUUUAGCUGAUGUACAUUUCAUAUUCAUCCAGCUUUGUUUAGUUUGGAAGGCCAACCAGUUUAGAUGGAUGCUGUCUCAAUAAUUGCUACAUUCCCGUCAGAUUUAAGAGAAGAGGUCCUAUUAACUUCUUCUGAUGCUAUUCUAGCCAAUUUAACACCUGCUCCAUCUUAUUGCUGAGGCUAAUAUGCUACAUUAAAGAUUUGCACAUCGUUAUCAUAGCUGUAAUCUUUUUGGCAUGUAUUCAAGGAACAGAAGAGGGGAGUCUUCUAGACAGGGUGAAGCUAUUGGAUCCACCUUGGACAGAGCUGGCAUGAGCAUUGCUUCACGCAGACCUCUUGGAGGUAAACUAGUAUAAGCUCGCAGAGUUUCAAGACCAUUUUGCUCAGUCACGGGGCAUCAUUUAGAAAAUUCUUUAUGAUUCCUCUUACUGGACCCAAUUCAAUUAUUGGAAGGGCUGUCGUAGUACAUGCUGAUCCUGAUGAUCUUGGGAAGGGUAAUUACAUGGACUUCCUUUUUUGUUGGUAAUUUUUGUUUUCCUGGACAAAGUGAGGGUAUCUGCAAUUAUCAAAUAGCUUGAGUUAAUUGCAGAACAAUUUUAGAAACCAGGGGUUGGUAUUUGUUAUUAUUGGAAACCCCAGGUAGUGAAUUUGUAAUUUACCCUAAAAAAGAAACAAAACAAUAACACAGCAACAAAUAGAAGGGAUUGAGGAAUCGUCAGCUAUGGUGCUAGAAAUGAUACUUUUUGUUCUUCUAAAAUGGUCAAAUGGAUGCAAUUUCCAGAAUUCCAAGUGUCUUCGUAAUCUGAUGAGUUGGCAGCAUGGCUGAAAAGUAAAUUGUGGAUUUGAUGCUAGAGCCUAUAACUCUUUCUAUGCUGAUCAAAUGAAGGUUACCUGUCACCACUGGCUGUAUUGAAUGAUUACAAAUGGCUUUUACUGUUUACCAAAAGUUGGAGUUGGAAGGUGUUCAAAUCGACAAGGAGAUGAACAUUAAGUAUAAAGUGACAUAGGACUCAGUGCUAAGAAUUUAGAUUGUCCAAGAACACUGAAGACAGAAGUUUUUUCCUGCAAAUGCCUUGUACUGAAGACAGAACCGGGGUCAUGGAGAGGAUUUGCAUUGGAAGAUGCGUUACAUUAUUC